AUUGAACGCUGGCGGCAGGCUUAACACAUGCAAGUCGAGCGGAGAGAGGUAGCUUGCUACCGAUCUUAGCGGCGGACGGGUGAGUAAUGCUUAGGAAUCUGCCUAUUAGUGGGGGACAACAUUUCGAAAGGAAUGCUAAUACCGCAUACGUCCUACGGGAGAAAGAAGGGGAUCUUCGGACCUUGCGCUAAUGGAUGAGCCUAAGUCGGAUUAGCUAGUUGGUGGGGUAAAGGCCUACCAAGGCGACGAUCUGUAGCGGGUCUGAGAGGAUGAUCCGCCACACUGGGACUGGGACACGGCCCAGACUCCUACGGGAGGCAGCAGGGGGGAAUAUUGGACAAUGGGCGGAAGCCUGAUCCAGCCAUGCCGCGUGUGUGAAGAAGGCCUUAUGGUUGUAAAGCACUUUAAGCGAGGAGGAGGCUACUUUAGUUAAUACCUAGAGAUAGUGGACGUUACUCGCAGAAUAAGCACCGGCUAACUCUGUGCCAGCCGCCGCAGUAAUAC
rnacentral:rRNA from 1 species